AGGACAAGCCCGCCUGCAUGCGACCCUUUCUACAUGUACUCAGCGACGGUGUGCUUUGGCUGGCUGAAGAGCAGCCCGCUGGGGACCCCGGAAUAGCAGAGCAGUGUCUCUGUGCAGCGGGCCAGGUGUGCGGUGCCGCCCGCGCGGUGAUAGCAGCAUUCUGCUGGCUCGUAUGAGAGAAAUCGUGUCCGUAUGUGGUAUUCUGUUUUUCUUUCCCUGCGUAAUGUGUCUCUGGAAGAAGUCUCAGCAUUUCAGCCGAAAUCCAUUUCCAAACAUCAUAAUCCGGAUUCAGAUGAGAAGUUGACUCGCAGAGUAUUCACUGCUUGAAAUACAUGGGAAGCAAUUUAAAUGGCUAUCUGGUAACCCUUCCAUCUACUCUCUGAAGUAUGCUCAUGUAAAUACCACAAUGCAAGCAUUGCAGAAAGUACUCCCUACUUACACACUGAGGAGAAAAGAACACACAGGCCUGAAGGUCCAUAUCAGGUGACCUGUGUAUAUGAAGUAUACUAGCAUGUUAAAAAAUGCUCUGACAACUUCUUUUUUUAAGUAUAUCCUUUAGAAAACCUGUGUCUUUUCUUCAUUUGUGACCAAUAUAUAUUUGCUCCAUUUAGCAGUAAUGAUCUAGAUCAAGAACCCAUCUAGGCACCGUACAUAUACACAACAGAUAGUUUCCAACUGAGCUUAUAAUUCUAAAUAACUUGUCUUAAAAAUGGGAAGAGAAAUAGAGGUUUAUUUUUACCAUCUGGGAUCGGGGGAAAAUUAAUUUCUUAAUAGCUAGUAACUAAAAAAAGUCACCAACUUCCCAGCUCACUGUCUUCAUUGAAAGCUUAGUUUUCCUUUAGUUCUCUUUAAAUACAUCAAACUAUGUAACUAACUGAGAAAUGCCAUUAUUUUCUGUCCCUAUAUUUUUCUUCAUUUUGGUAUCUAGAUGUGCCAACACAAAUGACUGAAAAGCAGCAGUUUGAGAUAAAUGCCUGCAUUCAGAUACAUCAAGGAGAUGCAGUUAGAAAGAUAGACAGCUGAGCAGUCUAUGGAAGUGAUAGCUGUUCACUUUGAGAACUGCUGUCCUGAUGUAGUUGGUAUGUUAAGAGAUGUCUGUCAAACUUAUGGGAAAAUACACCACUAAAAUGCAGUGGAGGACACUACAGAGAAAAUUCUGCUACCACAUAAAUACUUAGGGAAUAGCAGCAGAAUGAAUGCGUAAGACAGAGGAAAGGCAAAUUAAAAGUAUCAGAUGAAGGAAGAAGAAGCUAAAUAUUAAGACACGACAUUUCCAUGUUUCCUGUUACUUUUUUUUCAAGGAGACAAAUAUGCUUUAACAAUUCCCAUAUCAAGGCUCAAUGGAAAUGUAAAAUGCACAAUAAAAACUUUAUUAAAAAAAAAAGUAGAAAAUAAAAGCUAAUAAAAAAAUUAAACACUGGAGUUAGGUGGAAAAAAAGUUGAAGUGAAAUGAUGUUUAUCCUUAUAUUAUUUACAUUUUUGAAGAAAAAAUAUUUUAGAAAUUAAUGGUCAUAUUUCAUAGUUUAUCUCAUUUAAUUUGGCAUCUAUCAUUAAAAAAAUGGAUCAAAUGCCGUUAACUUGUGCUUUAAAGGAUCAGAUGUUAUCACUUUUUAGUUCAUGUUGAGUUUAGUCUUCAAAGGUAGUGCAGAACAAGGAUGGCAGUAUGUUGGAUAUUGUAGGAAAGGCUUCUAAAAGAUGAUUGAAGCUUUCCAACAUGAAGGUAGAAGUACAGUGUUUCACCAUGCCCAGUGUUGCAUAGAGAUCUGCUAUUUUCAUCCCACUUACUGUUAUUUGGAGAGAGGUCUCAACUGACAUUAUUUUCUGGACAUGACAAUGACUUCUGUUUGAUAAAGAAAUUAGUAACUUUUUGGGGGUGGGAGGGGAGGGCUGUCUCUUAGAGUAAAAUAGGAAAAAAAUAUCAAAUAAAAAUGUAUCUUUGUUCUUAUGCUGUUUCCGUUGAAGUUGAUGGUAAAAAGUCUCUUUGACUUUCCUGGGAACAGGGCUGAACCAUUUUAAAUGCUAUAUUGUAAUAUAAAUCUUUUAGGUCUUAAAUAUUUCCAUACAGUGGAGCAAAGAAGUCUUAAACGUCAUCAGAAAGACUGCUUCUUGUUAGGCUGUUACAAUGUGCCAUUUCUGUUCAAAUAGCGUUCACUAAUAUGAGAGACAAAUACAUUUAUACAACUUGGAAGUUUGACACUUCAUUUGGUUGUUCACAGCUUUUAUACAUUAUAGUAUUUAUAAAAAUAUUUUUAACUCCUCAGUUGCAUAAAACAAAGCACAGAUGUUUUCCAGCAGCAUUUCCUCAUCAAGACUUUUAGCUUAGCCUUGCUGGAGUAUAGCACAGAAUUUGCUUACAGUUAAGCUAAACUCAAAAUAUUCCCUAGUUACCACGGUUCUAUAUGAAAGGCAGGGCAAGGAGGAGGGAAAUGGCAUCUCCUCUACAAAGGCUUCCACUUGCGGGACCUCAGGCAACUGAAACUUCUCAUCUUUGGAUCUUCUUCUCUCACUGACCAUGGCUUUGAUGAGGUUUCUGUAAAAGGACUGCAGAAAAAAGAUCUGAAAAUAUAGUCCUCUGGGAAGGACAGAGAGGUUUUCUUCUCCUGGUACACUUAGGAUUGCUGGGCUCAAAGCUAAAAUUCUCUGCUCCAGAGCAGCUGUGAUGACCUGCCAGUACUCUGUCUUCUCAUCUAGUGAAAGAAACACAACUUCCAUGAAAAAGUUGUCAUUACUUUUUCCCUGUUGUUAGCUUGGCUUGGUAAACAACUGGAUAGCAGUCGUACAGUCAUUUAAGUCUUAUUAGUGAUUCAUUAAUGGCUGAGUUUAUCUUAAGUGACGGGAGAGUCUCUCUUUUCUGUCUGUGUUAGUGCCUGCCUGUAUGUCUGUCUUGUGUGUCUAACUGUGGUCUCUUGCCAGACAUUUAUUUGUAAGCUUUCCAUGAGAAGAACUGUUGGUGUACUUACAGCAUCUUGUGCAAUGGCCAACAAUUGUAAAUACUGUACAAAUAUUGAUGAUAAGCUGCCUCCACCUGAGGAAAGACAGGCCUUUCUAACAAACAUUUUCAAGUCGAUGGUCAUUAAAAAGAAAAAAAAAAACCAAAACAAAUAAAGCAAAAACAGAAGAAACACACUUAAAGAAACAAACAAACAAACUACAGGAAAGAAGAAGAGUGAGGGGUAUCAGUAACUCACUCAUGGUGAGAAGGGAUACCUCUCUUGUCUCUGCACUUUUAUUGUCCCAGGAAAUCUCUGCUGCUCCUUAUGACAAAUGUAUGUCCUAAAGAUGUCUGAAGGGGUACUACAAAGGAAAUCAAAGCCAAUGAUUUCAAGCUAGAGGGACAUAUGAAGGAAUGGCAUCUUUUUGUGGGAAGGUUUAAACUGUGGCUUUUUCAGAGGAAAAAAACACACUACUAACAAAGUCUUCAUAAAAGCAGAGGUAAUAGAAAAUACUGACAAUAGUACAAGCUUUUCUUUGUGCUUUGGGCCUGAUCUUGAUGACUACCUUUACCAGCUAUCCCUUUGACCCGUGGUGGUACCACAUAGAUAAUCUUUUCAUGUGUGAGAAAUGAGAAGUCAUCCUGACUGCUAAAGGACAGCUAUCAACAGAAGCUCAAAACCCUGUCAGUCAAUAACAGCUUGCUUCCUCCAGUAAGAGGAGUGAAAGAGGUGUCUAACUGCUUCCAGAAUGUCUCUACUGAUAACUACCUAUAAUCACAGAAAGCAGUUCAGUCUCUCUCUGAGAGGAGUGCGCAUAAAUAUUUAUGGCUAGUAAACUGCAGCCAGUUGUGCUAUCCACGUCUUGAAUUGCUGCUGAUUCAGACUUGCAUGGAGACAUAAAAUCAAACUUCACCUGAAAACAUUUGGGAAACCCAGGGACGGGCAUGGUGACUGCCAAAAUUACCCACCAAAACCAAUGCCAUGAUUGCGUGAUUGCACAUAAACAAAAGCAUACAAAUGACCUCAUUUUUUACCAGCAAACUCUAUGGAUGUAUUGUAACAGCUGUAGGAAAAAAUACUGUAUUUGUAGUUCAAAUUAAUGCAACAUAGUCUAUUUUAACUCUAAAUUUUUCCUUGAAAGAAAAAGAGAUUUCCUCUGAGGAUAUUAGGUUGGGUGGAAUGAAAGUGAGUAUAGAAAGCUCAGAUAGGUAAUGCAAGGCUGGACCUGCACUCGUGCACUGGCAUUAGAAGAGUCUUAACAACUGUUUCAUCCUUGCAUUUGUUUUGUACCUUACCCAGCUAUGUUCAUAUCUGCCACUGGAACCCUGAAGCAUCGCUAUGGAAUACAAAUGCAAGAGAAAAAACAGUACAAACAACAAUACUUAUUCACCUAACACGCAUCUAACAUGCAUCUGAAACGAAAGCUGCCAAAGUAUUCUUAUUUUCAUUACUUCACUGUGGAAAACUUUACUAAUUUACCUUUAGUGUCUGCCUCAUAUUGCAUUUUACUGUUUGUUUACAGCAAGUUUCUCUUAGAGUGAAUUUAUGAGCACUAACACCUCUAUUCAAAAAUGCUCCUCCAUCUACAUUUCUGAUACUUUCCAGUGCACUCCAGUGGAGUAAGAGGAAAAAAAUAUGGUAAAAUAGUCUCCUGUUUUGGUGAAAAAUUGCUAACAGUUGUAAUGCUUAACCAACAAGGCAAUAAAAAUUAAUCACUGUUUAUGAGUGAUGCAUAUCCCACA